rnacentral:rRNA from 1 species
UGCAUCUGAAAUCAGGCAAGAUCACCCGCUGAAUUUAAGCAUA